AUUCGACCGACUGAAAAAUGAGCUGAAGCAGGAUAUUGUGAAGCGUAUGACGUUUGACACAAUAGUUGUGGUCAAAGAUCCCUUCGAGUACGCUGAUGCUGAUGGGGCUGAGGCUAUGUCAGAGGCCGUGCUGUUAAAGCUGGAUAUGAUGAACGAUGCUUUGAGGAGAAACAUGCAUGGAGUGAGAGUUAUUAAGAAGCAACAGUUGGAGAUAUAGAAUGAGAUGCAAUCGUUGAAGGAAUCUGUUUCGAUGAGCUGGAAACAAUUAUUCGUGGUUUUGUUGAAAGCAAUUCGAAGGAGCAUAAUGGACCAGAAAAAAAUUGAAGGAUCAAAAGAAACCAAGGCUAAUGACGUUGACAACGUUGGUGGAGCAAACCAAGUAACAGAAGUGGGCUAGACAUUCCGGCAAAUUAAUCAAGAGGGUUUCAUAAAUAUUGAUGAGAUAAUUGCAUUACGUAUUAUUUAUUUUUCAAUUUAUAGUGUUUGUUUGUAUGCGUAUAAGUUAGAUGUGUAAUAUACAAUUUUUUUUAUGACUACGUCCCUAUUAAACUCGAUGCAUAGGUGGUUCAAGAUUAAACAUGUGCAGGAGCUGGUGUUAGAGACCCUAGUCUGAAAGACAGGGAGCCUAACGUGGGUGAUUUUGGGAGUAAAAGAAAUGGACUAGGUAGGAUGGUACCGGUGAUUCUUUGUUGGAAGAGGACCAUAGUCCUAAUGAUGGGGACCUUAAAGUGGCUGACUGUGGAAAGGAAAAAGUAGACGAGGUAGGCUAGCACCCGUGGUUCUUUGUUAGGAGAGGACACUAUCAUUUCUGAGAAUUUUACCAAAGAACUAGGAAAUACUGUCCGGUCGGCCACAUGUGUUUCAGAUGGUGCGGUUCAUCCUCCAAGUGGAAAUGUAACCAGUUACAUUCCACAACUGUUCAAUGGCGAGUGUUGUCAAAGAAUCACAAGUCUCGGACAUGGAUGAGGGUAAUGAAGAAGGCAACGAAGGGAUUCUGGGUGACACAAAAGGGGAGGAGACAACCAAAAAAACUUACUUCAGGUUAUCCACCUAUGAAGAAAAUGCAUCUGAAAUAGCACGUCCCAAGAAGAGGGGAGGGGUAGAGCUGGUGCGUGGAACGUACCAUUUUCCACUCGAUCAAGAUAUGUCACCAAAAUUAACUUAACAACAAGAUUUUUUGAAUUGGUUGAAAGAUGGAUUGGUCGUGGCUAAGGACAAGAAGCCGUAUUAUGAGGCUGGGUCUGGAAUUGUGUUUCAUGGCUUGGUUUUAGGGACAUAAGAGUUGUACGAUAAGGACUGGUUUGCCACACUUUGGAGUGGAGCUGCAGAGUUGACUGAGAGAGUAUGUUUUCUUAAAAAUAGAUAUUUGAUGUAGAUUAUUUUUAUCAUUUCUUGGUUGCAUUAUUUUGUUUGAUUAUAAUCAGAAUGAAAAGUGUUGCCCAAAUCUAUGAUGUGCUGCCAUUAUUGUUCCUGUAUUUAUUCGGCUAAGUGACUUAAAUUUUUGUUGGACCCAACAUAUCGAUGUAUGUUUGUACUGCUACCGAAAGAUGGUGAGGCACGUUGAUAUAUUCGAUAUCAGGGCUACAGCGACUUAUUCAUUUUUUUCUCAAUUAGUACAAUCCGCAUACGACAGGUUUUAGGCACAAGCUGACAGGGAUCCAUCGUUUUUCAAUUUAGAUUUGUCGUGUUUUGAAUAUGUACUUGGUGAAUACAUGCGUUGCAACACUCCUUGGACUGAAGUGAACCAUGUAUUGAUCUCAAUACUUAUUGGAGAAUAAAUCCGUUGGAUUUUAAUUCACUUUGAUAUAAGGAAACACACCUUGACCCUGUACACCCCUAUCAGUCGUAGUGCCAAAUCCUAGAGUGCAAGAUGUGAGAAGGUUGUUAGAAAGUUUACGGUUGUCAUUCCGUACUUGUUGGAUGAACUUGGUUUUUAUGUCAGCGGUCUUUAUUUGGAGCCAAGCUUGGCUUUGGAUCCAGAUGCAUACUCAGUUCCUCGAACACAGCCAUUGGAAGUGUGUACUGCAACGAGUAUCCCAAAGCUAAAGGACAAAUAAGUAUUUUGAUUAGUUGUUUUUCUAAUAUUGUAGAGAACACAAUAUUAUAUAUGUCUUAUGUACUGUCCUUUUGAUAAACAUUUUCUUCUUCUCACUUUAUGUAGGAAGUGCAUGGAUAGUGACAUUUAUGUAAUUAAGUAUGUUGAUUAUAUA